rnacentral:rRNA from 1 species
GUAACGAAUCUUCCGCAAUGGGCGCAAGCCUGACGGAGCAAUGCCGCGUGUGGGAUGAAGCAUCUCUGGUGUGUAAACCACUGUCAGGGGACGGAAACAAUGAUUGUCCCCAAAGGAAGUGGCGACUAACUCUGUGCCAGCAGUCGCGGUAAUACAGAGGCCACGAGCGUUAGUCGGAAUCACUGGGCUUAAAGGGUGCGUAGGCGGGCUUGCAAGCGUUUUGUGAAAGCCCCCGGCUCAACCGGGGAACAGCAGAGCGAACUGCGAGCCUUGAGGCAAGUAGGGGCGGGAAGAACAGUCGGUGGAGCGGUGAAAUGCUUAGAUAUCGACUGGAAUGCCGAUGGUGAAGACGUCCCGCUGGGCUUGUCCUGACGCUGAGGCACGAAAGCGUGGGGAGCAAACAGGAUUAGAAACCCCGGUAGUCC